UACGGGGGGGGCAAGCGUUGUUCGGAAUUACUGGGCGUAAAGGGCGCGUAGGCGGCCUUCUAAGUCGGACGUGAAAUCCCUCGGCUUAACCGAGGAACUGCGUCCGAUACUGAAAGGCUUGAAUCCGGGAGAGGGAAGUGGAAUUCCAGGUGUAGCGGUGAAAUGCGUAGAUAUCUGGAGGAACACCGGUGGCGAAGGCGGCAUCCUGGACCGGUAUUGACGCUGAGGCGCGAAAGCUAGGGGAGCAAACGGG
rnacentral:rRNA from 1 species